rnacentral:tRNA from 4 species
GCUCCUAUAGUUAAGUGGUAUAACUUCGCCUUUGUAACGCGAGUUCCUCAGUUCGAUUCUGGGUGGGAGCACCA